UCAGAUUGAACGCUGGCUGCAUGCUUUACACAUGCAAGUCGAACGGCAGCGAGGAGAAGCUUGCUUCUCUGUCGGCGAGUGGCGAACGGGUGAGUAUAGCAUCGGAACGUGCCAAGUAGUGGGGGAUAACCAAACGAAAGUUUGGCUAAUACCGCGUAAGCUCCAAGGAGGAAAGUAGGGGACCUAAAUAAGGCCUUACGCUAUUUGAUCGGCCGAUGUCGGAUUAGUUAGUUGGUGGGGUAAUGGCUCACCAAGGCAAUGAUCCGUAGCGGGUCUGAGAGGACGAUCCGCCACACUGGGACUGAGACACGGCCCAGACUCCUACGGGAGGCAGCAGUGGGGAAUUUUGGACAAUGGGGGAAACCCUGACCCAGCCAUGCCGCGUGUAUGAAGAAGGCCUUAGGGUUGUAAAGUACUUUUGUUAGGGAAGAAAAGCUAGUUUUUAAUAAAAAUUAGUGAUGACGGUACCUAAAGAAUAAGCACCGGCUAACUACGUGCCAGCAGCCGCGGUAAUACGUAGGGUGCAAGCGUUAAUCGGAAUUAUUGGGCGUAAAGCGAGUGCAGACGGUUACUUAAGCCAGAUGUGAAAUCCCCAAGCUUAACUUGGGACGUGCAUUUGGAACUGGGUGACUAGAGUGUGUCAGAGGGAGGUAGAAUUCCACAUGUAGCGGUGGAAUGCGUAGAGAUGUGGAGGAAUACCGAUGGCGAAGGCAGCCUCCUGGGAUAACACUGACGUUGAGGCUC
rnacentral:rRNA from 1 species